CAAGUAAUCUUGUCACUUGGGGCAUGUCAGGUUCUACUAGACCCUCUAGCACCUGAACCACGUCACCCACUGUCGGUCGAUUAAAGUCUUCAUCUUGAAUGCACCAACACGCAACCUUGCAAGCUCUUUCAACCUCCUCCAUGUUGAUAUCACCUUGUAAUUGGUGAUCGACCAAACUCUCCACAUCUCCCUUUAGAAGAUUACGCGCAGCUUGCACAGGAAAAUAAACAGUCUGAUCAGCACUGCUUUUACAUUCUUUGAUAUGAUUUCCAACAGUAACCAUUCCAUAGCUAUAGACAUCAACCUUUUGUGUAAUUGCUACUCCACUAAUCCAUUCAGGUACAAGAUAUCCUACGGUUCCCCUCAUUGUUGUUAGAACUCGACUGAAGUCCCUUCCUAGCAGUUUUGCCAUUCCAAAGUCUGCAACCUUAGGAACAAACGACACAUCAAGAAGUAUGUUUUCUGGCUUAAUAUCACAGUGUAUGAUACAAUCAUGGCAACUCUCAUGCAAGUAGGACAAUCCUUUAGCAACCCCUACGGCUAUCUGGUACCUUGUACUCCAAUUCAGAAUUGUCCCAUCGUUGCGGAACAAAUGAGCAUCAAGAGACCGAUUUACCAUAUGUUCAUAAACAAGCAUCCUUAUAUCACCUUCACAACAGAAGCCAAUUAGUUUAACUAAGUUCACAUGUUGGAUCAUCCCAAUUGUACGACCUCAGCCCUGAACUGUUUCUCCCCUUGGCGUGCACCAUCAAGCAUCUUCACUGCUAUAGUAUUUGAGUCGCUCAGAAUUCCUUUGAAUAUAGAACCAAAACCUCCUCCACCUAGCUUCUCGGAGAAAUUUUUGGUUGCACACUGCAAAUGAUCAUACCUAAAAGCGACAAUCCCAAGCACCCUCUUUAAUUUUAUUAAUUGGAUAAUCACGUGACCUCCUUUUGCUCCAAAUCAUCAAUAGCAGGAGGAAGGCCAAGAAACUGAAAGCAGAAACAGAUGCACCAACAACAACAGCUAUUAUUUUCUCUCUUCUAUUCUGUCCCCAACUUGGCACCUCUGCAGCAGCAAGGCGGUGGUAAAAAAUCUCUUCAUUUGUAUUGCUAGUGCCAUUAUAUUGCUUUACAUUAAUAAGUUGUUCAUGCCAUACUGAGCAACCGCUUCUGCCAUGCGAAUAUGCGGUGCAAGAGCAGUUUCUCAGACAAACCUGGAUACAUUCGUGUGCACUUGCAACAGUUUCCAUACUGAUACUAUGGGCAUCAUAGGGCAAUCUAACACUAGGUAUGGGAAAGAACUUAUCGGUUAAACCUGUUGUGCUUUCGUUGCUGCUGCAGCCCAGUGGAAUAUUUUUUGUGCAACCUUCCCGUCUAUCAUCAAGUUCCCAGUCCCUUGGUGACUUCACAGAGAAGCCCUUCAUGCAGUUGCACAAUGUAAGUGCAUUAUCGUUGCAGAUUGUGUAAGGUCCACAAACAGAGGAAACAUCGCAUGAAGCCUUGGGUUGGAUGAACACAGUUUCCCAAUCUUGCACACACGGUUUACAGAGAUAUACUCUUAACACAGAUACAUCAAGCAAGCAGAUUGUGAUUACCGUUUUAUCAAAUGGGGUGUAAGUAAAGUAGUCCUUUUCGUCGUUGUCCACGAAUUUGGAGUCAAGAAAAACAUUGCUUGACAUUUCUGGCACAGAGUUGAAGUAUCUUCCAUUCCACUCCCCGGUGGAAAAGUACACAAUGGACGAGUUGCAAAGCAUAUCAUAGUAUUGCCUAGAGCCAGAGGGGUCUAACUCCAUGCAAUAUAAGCCUAGAGCUGGGUUCUCGGAAUUCUUCUUUGAAGUGAAACUAUAUUUCUGACCAGUGAUCUUGUUCUGGCCAAUCUUCACUCCAGGGAGGAAGACAUCUGUUGGGUGAUCAAAGCUCUGCCACCACACAUUGGAUGGGUUCGAGGCAACUCAUAUAACAAGGUUCCCAUUGUCUAACAACACUACACUAUUGUUCCUGCUGGUUUCUGGUCUAUUCUCAAUUUGGCUAGACCAAAUCAUUGGCUUGGCCACCUUGUUUAAGAUGACAAGAGUGCCAUCUCUUGAAACUCUAAGUUCUGACUGUUUAAAGAUGGGGUCAGUUAUUGGCUUAUCUCUAUUAGCAACCCACACAGUUGUGAACUUUGGGAGUACCAGUUGGGCAAGGUGGUGUUGUCUGAUGACUUACUGCUGCCUGUUUGGAAGAAGCCGAGCGCAAACUUGCUGUUGCUUGAGAUGAGCUUGUUUCCACCGGUGAGCACUUGGCCUGCCAUGAGAGUACUGCCAUUAUUUGUGGCAGAGCAUGCAGGGAAAUUGCGCUGUAGGGAGAAGAGAAGCCCAA
rnacentral:sRNA from 1 species